GACUUGCCUGUCAUGGGUGUCUCCUACUUCCUACUUCUGAGCUGUAUUGGCCUUGCCAUUACUGUUCAAGGUCAAGACUGUUCCAAACCCCUGGCAGGACCCAACAUGUAUUUGUUGAGCAGUGAUAGUCUUUCACAAACAUUCCCAGAUGGGACCCAAGUUUGUUUUUUCUGUGAUCCUGGUUACGUGUCUGCAGGAGGGUCUGCAGUCAUCACUUGUAAUGCUGGCACUUGGAGUCCCGUGAGGCUGAAAUAGAAGAACUGUAAUUCUGCUGGAGUAGUGGAAAAUGGACAAAUUGAUUACCCUACAGGGACUGAGUUUGUGAUCACUUGUAACGAUGGGUUAGUGAAUUGAUAACUCUUGAUAAUUAGUUUUUGAAAUGUACUUGUAGCACAUUUUAACUCAUUCCAAUCACAGUGAGUGUUCAGUAGGUCUGCGUACUUUUCAGUGUUGUCAUGUGAAAUGCAAGGGUUAACACAGAUCCCUCUUGAAAUGUGUUGUCUAAAGUCUAACUUUUUGAAAAUUUUAUUUCUCUAAUUAGUUACAGAUUAGUUGGAAACAGUAAAAUUCUUUGUGGUGUCCAAGGGUGGGACGGAAGUUUGCCUGUAUGUGAAGAGGUUCAAUGUGGUGAUGCUGUCAUUAAAAAUGCCAAAUGGGUUGAAGGUUCUCGACCCCCUUAUGGAUACAAGGCUACGGUGACCUACCAGUGCAUAUCUGGAUACGUUAUGACAGGACCGAGUACCCUGACAUGUG